UUGAUCCUACGGGGGGCAGCAGUGAGGAAUAUUGGUCAAUGGGCGCGAGCCUGAACCAGCCAAGUCGCGUGAGGGAUGACGGUCCUACGGAUUGUAAACCUCUUUUGCCGGGGAGCAAGCGUGCGUUCGUGAACGCGCGUCGAGAGUACCCGGAGAAAAAGCAUCGGCUAACUCCGUGCCAGCAGCCGCGGUAAUACGGAGGAUGCGAGCGUUAUCCGGAUUUAUUGGGUUUAAAGGGUGCGCAGGCGGAAGAUCAAGUCAGCGGUAAAAUUGAGAGGCUCAACCUCUUCGAGCCGUUGAAACUG
rnacentral:rRNA from 1 species